rnacentral:lncRNA from 1 species
AGAGAGGGAGGGGGAGAGGGCUAUUUUUAAAAUUUUUUAAAAUUGCUGAACAGGGGUACCUCUGGGCAGUGUGUCAGAAUACCACUUUUUAAAUAUUUUAUGAUUUAUUUAUUUUUCUAUUUCUUGAGGUUUUAACUGAUGUGUAUCUGUAUGUCUAUUUGUGUAUAUUUUGUCAUGAUCAUGUAACAGAGUCUGAAAAGUGUCGAAGAGACAGUUUUCAGGAACAACAAGCAAUUAUUCCUACUUUCCAAGUUAUUUUGAUGCCAUGGUGGCUCAUACCUAUAAUCUGAGUACUUUGGGAGGCUGAGUGAGUGGAUCCCCUGAGCCCAGAGAGGUCAAGGUUGUGAUGAGCUGUGAUCACACCACUGCACUUCAGCAUGGGAGACAGAGUGAGACCCUGUUUCAGAAAAAAUAAAUAAAUAAAACCACCAGCACCACAAACAACAACAAAAAGUUAUUUUGUACUUGUUUUGAGCACAGGACUCCUGAGGGUAUCUUUGCAUUUAAUAUUACAUAGGGGUGCCAGUGGGAAGUAAUGUGUAUGCUUGGCCUCAUGAGCUAAAACCCUGUGUUAAUUAUGACAGAAGGAAAGUGUGUGAGAGAGAUCUUAACUACCUAGCAGCUCUAGCUGCCAUCUUGAACCAUGAAGAUACGGGCCACACGUAGGGGUAGCUGGGUAGUGAGCAGCAAGAAGCCUUGUUGGAUGAGGGCACGAAGGAGCAGAAUCACUGGAAUCACUGUGUCAGCCCUAAUUACCUACCUCUGGACUUUUAUGUGAGGGGAAAAAAAAUUGACAGUUUAUAUUUAUCUCAACCUAGUUAACCCAAGUGAUGCAUUGUUAUGAGAUUAAAAUGUUUGGAGGCCGGGUGCGGUGGCUCACGCCUAUAAUCCCAGCCCUUUGGGAGGCCAAGGCGGGCGGAUCACGAGGUCAGGAGAUCAAGACCAUCCUGGCUAACAUGUAAAACCCCGUCUCUACUAAAAAUACAAAAAAUUAGCCAGGCGUUGUGGCGGUCGCCUGUAGUCCCUGCUAUUUGGGAGGCCGAGGCAAGAGAACGGCAUGAACCUGGGAGGUGGAGCUUGCAGCGAGCUGAGAUCUUGCCACUGCACUCCAGCCUGGGCGACAGUGCGAGACUCUGUCUCAAAAAUAAAUAAAUAAAUAAAUAAUAAAUAAAAUGUUUGGAAUGUUGGCUUCAUCCCUGGGAUGCAAGGCUGGUUCAACAUACGCAAAUCAAGAAACAUAAUUCAUCACAUAAACAGAACUAAAGACAAAAACCACAUGAUUAUCUCAAUAGAUACAGAAAAGGCCUUCAAUAAAAUUCAACGUUGCUUCAUGUUAAAAACUCUCAAUAAACUAGGUAUUGAUGGAAAAUAUCUCAAAAUAAUAACCAUUUAUGACAAACCCACAGCCAUUAUCAUACUGAAUGGGCAAAAGCUGGAAGCAUUCCCCUUGAAAACUGGCACAAGACAGGGAUGCCGUCUCACCACUCCUAUUUAACAUAGUAUUGGAAGUUCUGGCCAAGAAAAUCAGGCAAGAGAAACAAAUAAGGGGUAUUCAAAUAGGAAAAGAGGAAGUAAAACUGUGUUUGCAGAUGACAUGAUACUAUAUCUAGAAAACCCCAUUAUCUCCACCCAAAAGUUCCUUAAGCUGAUAAGCAACUUCAGCAAAGUCUCAGGAUACAAAAUCAAUGUGCAGAAAUCACAAGCAUUCUAUACACCAACAAUACACAAGCAGAGAGCCAAAUCAUGAAUGAACUCCCAUUCACAGUUGCUAGAAAGAGAAUAAAAUACCUAGGAAUACAGCUAAUAAGAUGUGAAGGAUCUCUUCAAGGAGAACUACAAACCACUGCUCAAGGAAAUAAGAGAGGACACAAAUGAAAAAACAUUCCAUUCUCGUGGAUAGGAAGAAUCAAUAUCAUGAAAAUGGCCAUACUACCCAAAGUAAUUUAUAGGUUCAUUGCUAUUCCCAUUAAACUACUAUUGACAUUCUUCACAGAAUUAGAAAAAAACUACUUUAAAAUUCAAAUGGAACCAAAAAAGAGCCCGUAUAACCAAGACAACAAUAAGCAAAAAGAACAAAGCUGGAAGCAUCACACUACCCAACUUCAAAGUAUACUGCAAGGCUACAGUAGCCAAAAUGGCAUGGUACUGGUACAAAAACAGACACAUAGACCAAUGGAACAGAAUAGAGACCAGAGAAAGAAGACCACACAUCUACAGCCAUCUGAUCAUCGACAAACCUGACAAAAACAAGCAAUGGGGAAAAGAUUCCCUAUUUAAUAAAUGGUGCUGGGAAAACUGGCUAGCCAUAUGCAGAAAAUUGAAACUGACCCCUUCCUUACACCUUAUACAAAAAUUAACUCAAGAUUAAAGACUUAAUGUAAAACCUAAAACUAUAAAAACCCUAGAAGAAAAUCUAUUUAAUACCAUUCAAGACAUAGGCACAAGCAAAGGUUUCAUGACAAAAACAUCAAAAGCAAUUGCAACAAAAGCAAAAAUUACAAAUGGGAUCUAAUUAAACUAAAGAGCUCCUGCACAGCAAAAGAAACUAUCAUUAGAGUGAACAGGCAACCUACAGAAUGGGAGAACAUUUUUGCAAUCUAUCCAUCUGACAAAGGUCUAAUAUCCAGAACCUACAAGGAACUUAAAACAAAUUUACAAGGAAAAAAACAACCCCAUCAAAAAGUGGACAAAGGACAUGAACAGACACUUCUCAAAAGAAGACAUUUAUGUGGCCAACAAACAUAUAAAAAAAAGCUCAACCUUACUGAUCAUUAGAGAAAUGCAAAGGAGAACCACAAUGAGAUACCAUCUCAUGCCGGUCAGAAUGGUGAUUAUUAAAAAGUCAAAAAACAACAGAUGCUGGCGAGGCUGUGGAGAAGUAGGAACACUUUUACAUUGUUGGUGGGAAUGUAAAUUAGUUCAACCGUUGUGGAAGUGUGUGUGGCUAUUCCUCAAAGAUCUAGAACUAGAAAUACUAUUUGUCCCAGCAAUCCCAUUACUGGGUAUAUACCCAAAGGAAUAUAAACCAUUUUAUUAUAAAGAUACAUGCACAUUUUUGUUCAUUGCAGCACUCUUCACAAUAGCAAAGACACAAUAGCAAAUGCCCAUCAAAGAUAGACUGGAUAAAGAAAAUGUGGUACAUAUACACCAUGGAAUACUGUGCAGUGCAGCCAUUACAGCUUUUGGUGAUACAGUGAAUCAGAUUUUUCAUUAAUUCUUUUAAUUGGUUAUUACUGAACGUGAAAAAGUAAUGUUUGUAUU